AUGAACCGGCAGAUUGUCCCGACACAAUCCGUCCUGGAUCGUGUCCUAGUUUCCCCUGAAUGGGAAGUACGCUGCCCCCUCGCGUUGCUCCGGGCUGUCACCCGGAUCGGGUCUGACCAUGUCCCCCUCCUCCUCUCCACCGCCGACGAGCGGCCCCCCACCCCAUCGCGAUUCCGGUUUGAGCCCUUCUGGCUCAAUCAGGCCGGCUUCCGGGAGGCUGUCGUCGCUCGCUGGAUUUUUGCCUGCUCUGCUCCCCAUCGCUCCAUGUCCUCUGUCGACUCGUGGCACUUCUGCGCCAAGCUAGCUCGCCAAUUCAUGAAGGGUUGGGGGGCCAACCUUGGCCGGGACCUUAGAGAGCGCAAAAAGGCCCUCCUGCUGGCUAUCCAAGCCCUGGACACCCGCGCCGACUCGACCGGGAUCUCCCCUGAUGAGUGGAUGCUGCGAUACGACCUGGAAGACCAACUCUCCACCAUUUACACAGAUGAGGAGGCCUACUGGCGCCUGCGUGGUACCCAGAGGUGGGUACUUUGGGGAGAUGCCAACACCGCCUAUUUUCAGGCGGUGGCGAACGGCCGGCGCCGUCGCAAUUCCAUCCAUUGCCUAUGGGAUGGAGACACGCCGAUCGUUCUCCCCUCGGCCAUCCAUACCCACGUAGACGACUUUUAUAAAGCUCUAUUUACCCCCACUCCGCGGGGUGCGGCUAGUCUUGCCCCCGACAUUUGGUCGGGUGCGCAAUUGGUCUCGGCAGAGGCCAAUGCGGCAUUAGUUGCCCCUUUUGACGAGGACGAGGUCCUCGCAGCCAUUAAGGGGAUGAACCCCUCC
rnacentral:rRNA from 1 species